rnacentral:rRNA from 1 species
UACGUAGGGGGCUAGCGUUGUCCGGAAUCAUUGGGCGUAAAGAGCGUGUAGGCGGUCCGGUAAGUCAGCUGUGAAAGUCAAGGGCUCAACCCUUGAAUGCCGGUUGAUACUGUCGGGCUAGAGUCCGGAAGAGGCGAGUGGAAUACUUGGUGUAGAGGUGAAAUUCGUAGAUAUCAAGUGGAACACCGGUGGCGAAGGCGGCCUUCUGGACGGUGACUGACGCUGAGACGCGAAAGCGUGGGGAGCAAACAGG